rnacentral:pre_miRNA from 1 species
UAUGGGGAAUUUCUGAAGCAAGGCGGCAGCAAGAAACCUCCAUGAGAGACUCUCAUGGAGGUAUUUUGCUGCCUCUUUGCUUCAGGAAUUCUCUCCAAA